UAGGGAAUCUUUCGCAAUGGGCGAAAGCCUGACGGAGCAACGCCGCGUGAGUGAUGAAGGUCUUCGGAUCGUAAAACUCUGUUAUUAGGGAAGAACAAAUGUGUAAGUAACUAUGCACGUCUUGACGGUACCUAAUCAGAAAGCCACGGCUAACUACGUGCCAGCAGCCGCGGUAAUACGUAGGUGGCAAGCGUUAUCCGGAAUUAUUGGGCGUAAAGCGCGCGUAGGCGGUUUUUUAAGUCUGAUGUGAAAGCCCACGGCUCAACCGUGGAGGGUCAUUGGAAACUGGAAAACUUGAGUGCAGAAGAGGAAAGUGGAAUUCCAUGUGUAGCGGUGAAAUGCGCAGAGAUAUGGAGGAACACCAGUGGCGAAGGCGACUUUCUGGUCUGUAACUGACGCUGAUGUGCGAAAGCGUGGGGAUCAAACAGGAUUAGAUACCCUGGUAGUCCACGCCGUAAACGAUGAGUGCUAAGUGUUAGGGGGUUUCCGCCCCUUAGUGCUGCAGCUAACGCAUUAAGCACUCCGCCUGGGGAGUACGACCGCAAGGUUG
rnacentral:rRNA from 1 species